rnacentral:lncRNA from 1 species
AGGGCUCUAGCAAGAAGAUGCCAGCAGAGGCUUGAAAAGUGCCUACCCCUGGCCUGGGAUGCUUCCUCCUGGGAUGCUCCCACUUGGAACCCAACUAUUGUGCUGCAGAAGUUUAACUUAACUGUGUAAGGAGGCCAAGAGGAGGCCCUGGCUGCCAGCCAGCAUCAACUUCCAGUGACGUGAGUGUGCCAUUCUGGAACUGGAUCCUGCAGCCUCGGUGGAGCAGCCUCAGCUGAUGCCAUGUGGAACAGAGAUGAACUGCCGCUGCCGAGCUCUGCCCACGUUGCAGAAUCAUGAGCAAAUAUGGAAUCUUGCUCUGUCACCCAGGCUGGAGUGCAGUGGCAUGAUCUCAGCUUACUGCAACCUCUGCCUCCCAGGUUCAAGUGAUUCUCCUGCCUCAGCCUCCCAAGUAGCUGGGAUUACAGAUGUUGUGGAUUGGCUGUAACUCUGCUCUGGGAUCCAGGCUGAAGGAGCAGGCUCUAUCUGGAACAUUACUAGUCUCCAGGCAGAAGAAAAAGAGACAAUGGAAUGGAUGAUUGAAUGGAUGAAUGAACUCCACAGGAAGAUGAGGAAAGCCUUUAUGGAUGGAGUGAGCUUGCAGCAGAGUCUCAAAGGGUGAGUAGAGUUUUCCAGGUAGGGAAGUGUGUGGGUGAGUAGUCCAGAUCGAGUCAAAGGUAUGGGAGCAAGGAACGGCCUGGUGCAUUCCAGAAGUGUUGAUAAUGUCACUGGCUGACUCGGAGGGUGUGAAGGGGAGGAGAAGGAGGGAAGGCUAGAGAGGGAAGGUAGAAAGGAAGUGGAGGCGAAAAAAGAUGCUGAAGGGCCUCCUGUACCUCCAGGAAGAGUUUGAAUGUUAUCAUUUGGGCAAUGGGAAGCUAUUCCUGGGUCUUCACAAGGGAAUCAGUUGGUGAGAACUGCUGUUUAGAAAGACAGCCCUGGCAGCAACUCAAGCGCUGGGAGAGGACAGAACCACCAGGGAAGAGGGUAUGGGGAAGAAGAGCAGCAGGCUGAGGACAGGCCCAGGACUGAAGAAUCAGGCACAGGAAGAAGAGUCCAUGGGGCAGGCUGUGAAAUGGACAAAGGAAAACCAGAGGUGCUUCCCAAGCAGGGGGCCUGGCCACCAGAGUCCCAAGCUACCAAGAUGUCAAGUAAAGAAGAACUGAAAGCCAACUGCUGGAUGCAGCAGUGAGUGGGGGUCACAGUGGCCUUUGCCAGAACUGUUCCAGUGGAGGAGUAGAGGAAGAGAGAAAACCACAGGAGCAGGCAUCGCAAGCUCAUGCUCCACCCACACGUCCCCUUUCUCCUUUAGUCCUGUGACCCAUGUGCUUGCUCUCUUUCUCUCUCAAAGGAGAUCCAAAUUUAAAAAUAUGGAGCCAAGGGAAUCAGUUCCUUUGCGAACACACUGAACGUUAGUUUUCUUCUUCUCUUUUGCAAAAACUUCUUAUUUCACAAAAUACUCAAACAAAUAGACAAAGUACAGUGAAGUCCAGGUAGAUAUCAUCCACCUUCAGCAAUGAUCAAUCCAUGGCCAAUCUUUCAUCUCAACACUCGUAUCCUCAUUCUUGUGGAGCAAAUGCCAGACAUUCUUUCAUCCAUCAGUAUGUCAAUAUGUAUCUCUGAAAUAGAAGGACUUUUUAUAAAACAUAAUCAUAAUAUAAUUAAUAUUCAUUCCCCAAUUGUUUUGUUAUUGUCUUUUACAGUUUAAUUUUUGUUUUGUUUUGUUUCGUUUCUUUUUGAGACAGGAUCUUGCUCUGUUACCCAGGCUGGAGUGCAGUGGUGCGAUCAUGACCCAUUGCAGCCUCUACCUCCUGGGCUCAGGUGAUCUUCCCACCUCAGCCUCCCAAGUAGCUGGGACUACAGGUGCAUGCCACCAUGUCCAGCUACUUUUUUGUAUUUUUGUAGAGAUGAGGUCUCACCAUGUUGCCCAGGCCAGUCUCAAACUCCUGGGCUCAAGUGAUCCACUUGCCCCAGCCUUCCAAAGUGCUAGGAUUACAGGCAUGAUCCAUAAUACCCAGCUACGGUUUGUUUUCAUUUGGAUGCUAAUAAGACCCAUACAUUCCAUUUGGUUGAUCUAUCUCUUCAAUUUCUUUUAAAUUUAUAAUUUUAUAAGGUCCCCUUCCACAUUUUUCUUUGUGGAAGAGGAGAAAAGACCCUUGUUCUCUGGAUCACUCUGUGGUUAAGGGGGUAGGUCCUCAAAUCAGAUGCCCUGGUUCUAUUUUGCUUUCUUGUUUUUUAGUACUUUUUGUUUGUUACCUACACACAGAAAAGUACAUGAAUCAUAAGUGAGCAGCUUGAUGAAUUUUCAUAAGUGAACACACCUGUGUAACCACCACCCAGCUCAGGAACAGGGCAUCACUGGCACCCAAGAACCCCCUCUCAGGCCCUUUCCCAGUCUCUACCACCUCACAAAGGUCAGGUGACUUUUUCACACCACAGCCAUGUGUUACCUCUUUUUGAACUUUAUAUAAAUAAAAUCAUAGCAUACAUUUCUUGGAUGACUGGCUUCUUUCACUCACCUUUAUGCUGGUGGCAUGCUUAUCGUAAUGAUUUGUUCAUUCCCAAUGCUGCAUAGUAUUCCAUUGAAUAUGAAUGUUCUACAAUCUGUUUAUCCAUUCUAGUGUUGAUGGACAUUUGGACAGUUUACAAUCUUAAGCUAUUACGAAUGGUGCUAUUGUGAAUGUUAUUGUCCGUGUGUUUCUUUGGGUACAUACUUAAGAAUGAGAAUUAUGCAUGCUCAUGUUGCCAAGGUUUUAAUUUUGGGUUUACUUAAUAUCACUUUUGUGACCUCAAGCACAUUAUUUUACCUCUCUGGCCUCAGUUUCUUAAUCUGUAAAACAGGCAUAAUCAUAUUCACCCUGUGGAGUUAUUGGGAGGAUUAAAUAUUUAAAAAAAUCUAAAACUCUUAGAAUCGUGCUUGUCUCUUAGUAAGGGUUUUAUAAAUGUUAGCUGUCAACCCUUCCUCCCUUUGUGGUGGUAACUUCUCAAGCUCCUUCACUGUUUUUCUCCUCCUGCCAAGUUUCAUUCUCCCAAGUUCAAGUUAACCUGGUCUGCUUUUCUUUCUCUCUGAAACUUGUCUAUGCCUAUGACUUCCAUUAUCUUGUACUGUGGACAGCUUUUGCAACGUGUUACCUAGAAACUAUGACUCCAAAUCCCCUUGUCUACAAAACUCAGCCUCUCCCCUGCUUACCAAUGCUCCCUUUCUAGUAAUGAUGUCAUAUUUUCCCUUUCCCUUGAAUAUAUGUGUCACCAAAAUCUCAACAGAUCUAAAGUAAAUUUACCUUUCUCUCCCAUAUUAGAACCACCUUGGGAUCAUCUCUGACCCUUCUCUCUUUCUUGCACCCCAUAUUUAAUCUGUGGGGAAGUCCUGAAGAAUCUAUGCUCACAUCACUGUUAUUCUUUUCUUUUUACUUCCACUGUCUAGUUCAGGCCCUUAACAACUUACAUUGAAACUAAUGCAAUAACCUGUUAUCUCUUCUACCUGGCUCCAACCUCUCCUAUUUCUAAUUUUCUCUGAACAUUGCCUCCAGAUUAAUUGGACUAAAAUAUGGCUUCAUAAUAAAUCAUCAUGAUAGGGCAUAUAACUGUGAAAAGAAAAUAAAGCCUUGGGACCCCAAACUCACUAUGUCAAAGGGAAAAAUUAAGCUUGGAAACUGAGUCACACAAAAACUGCCUUCCUUUUGCUCCUAAACAGAUCGUUGCAUUUGGAUAUUUGGACUGUUUACAACCUUAAGCUAUUACAAAUGGCGCUAUUAUGAACGUUAUUGUCCAUGUUUUUCUCUGGGUACUUAGUUAGGAAUGAGUAUGUGAUAACGGAAGGCCAUCUAUCUCCCCAGGUGGCCUUCCUCACAAUUGCUUACAAGGAAAUUUUUUGUGGGUCCCAAAUCUUUCAGAAUACAUAUCCUCCUGAUGAACUACCCCUAAAACACAGUUCUGUUGAAUCUCACCCUGACAAUGUAGGCUUUUUUUUUUUCUUUUUUUUUUUCUUGUGAGACAGAGUCUUGUCAUCCAGGCUGGAGUGCAGUGGCACGAUCUUGGCUCACUACAACCUCUGCCUCCCAGAUUCAAGCAAUUCUCCUGUCUCAGCCUCCUGAAUAACUGGGACUCCAGGUGCCUGCCACCAAGCCUGGCUAAUUUUUUGUACUUUUAAUAGACAUGGGCAUUUCACCAUGUUGCCCAGGCUCAUCUCGAACUCCUGACCUCAAGUGAUCCACCUGCCUCAGCCUCCCAAAGUGCUGGGAUUACAGGCAUGAGUCACUGUGCCUGGCCAACUAUGUAGAUUAACAUCUUAUCUUCACAGGUAUGAGACAAAGACCAGACUAGAAAUAAUUCCUCUGCCCACCCAAGACAAAUGCAUAUUAGAUUUCUUCCUCUACUCUGUGUUUACAUAUUUUAUGUAAAAUGUAGAUUUACCAAGCAAGAAAACUAACAUAAUUGACUGUUCCUCUACCCGCCCCUUUCACAUGUAAAAUGUAGAUUCAGCGAGUGCUAAUCAAAGCCGCAUAGGAAAGUAAUCUCCUGUCUCAUUGCUUACCCUUCCUUCUUUUUUUCCUUUCCUCUCUAAAGUCCUGAAAAACCCUUUUUGGAAAAAGCACAGGCCACAGAUCCUAUGGUAACUUGUGUUUCUUUCUCCCAGAAGAACUAUGGUUACUUGUGUUUCUUUCUCCCAGAAGAAGAAAUAAAACAAACUUCUACAUGGCAAAAUAAACCUCUACAUGGCAAAAUAAACCUCUACAUGGCAAAAUAAACCUCUACAUGGAUAGAGAUCUGUCUCAGACACAUUUUGGUUUCCAUGACUUCUGAAUGGCAGCAUGAGGAGCUCCAUGAACCCUCUCCCCAGUGAAAUGACCAUAAUCUCUGGAAAUUGCUUAAGAUCAAAGCCACAACUAUUUAAAGCCUUUGGAAAUUGUUUUAUGGGGAUGCGGCAAAUUAAUAAACUUUUAUUCAAGAAAA